rnacentral:rRNA from 1 species
ACGGGGAUUAAUACCGGAUAUGACUUGGGACCGCAUGGUUCUGGGUGGAAAGUUUUUCGGCUGGGGUGGGGCUCGCGGCCUAUCAGCUUGUUGGGGGGGUGACGGCCCACCAAGGCGACGACGGGUAGCCGGCCUGAGAGGGCGACCGGCCACACUGGGACUGAGACACGGCCCAGACUCCUACGGGAGGCAGCAGUGGGGAAUAUUGCGCAAUGGGCGGAAGCCUGACGCAGCGACGCCGCGUGCGGGAUGAAGGCCUUCGGGUUGUAAACCGCUUUCACCAGGGGACGAAGGGAGACUGACGGUACCUGGGGAAGAAGCGCCGGCUAACUACGUGCCAGCAGCCGCGGUAAUACGUAGGGCGCGAGCGUUGUCCGGAAUUAUUGGGCGUAAAGAGCUCGUAGGCGGCUGGUUGCGUCUGCUGUGAAAUCCUGGGGCUUAACCCCGGGCGUGCAGUGGAUACGGGCC